UAGGGAAUCUUCCACAAUGGACGCAAGUCUGAUGGAGCAACGCCGCGUGAGUGAAGAAGGUUUUCGGACCGUAAAGCUCUGUUGUUGGUGAAGAAGGAUAGAGGUAGUAACUGGCCUUUAUUUGACGGUAAUCAACCAGAAAGUCACGGCUAACUACGUGCCAGCAGCCGCGGUAAUACGUAGGUGGCAAGCGUUGUCCGGAUUUAUUGGGCGUAAAGCGAGCGCAGGCGGAAGAAUAAGUCUGAUGUGAAAGCCCUCGGCUUAACCGAGGAAUUGCAUCGGAAACUGUUUUCUUGAGUGCAGAAGAGGAGAGUAGAACUCCACGUGUAGCGGUGGAAUGCGUAGAUAUAUGGAAGAAUACCAGUGGCGAAGGCGGCUCUCUGGUCUGCAACUGACGCUGAGGCUCGAAAGCAUGGUAGCGAACAGGAUUAGAUACCCUGGUAGUCCAUGCCGUAAACGAUGAGUGCUAAGUGUUGGGAGGCUUCCGCCUCUCAGUGCUGCAGCUAACGCAUUAAGCACUCCGCCUGGGGGAGUACGACCGCAAGGUUGAAAC
rnacentral:rRNA from 1 species